GGAGAAGGGCCCUAGCUCAGUGGUAAAGCAUCUACUUUAAGUGCAGAAGACCCCAGGUUCAAUCCUUGGCAUCUCCA